rnacentral:rRNA from 1 species
UACGGAGGGUGCGAGCGUUGUUCGGAAUCACUGGGCGUAAAGGGCGCGUAGGCGGCUGGGGUAGUCCGUGGUGAAAGCUCGAGGCUCAACUUCGAGUCGGCCAUGGAUACUCCUCGGCUUGAGCACUGUAGAGGCAGGUGGAAUUCCGGGUGUAGCGGUGGAAUGCGUAGAGAUCCGGAAGAACACCGGUGGCGAAGGCGGCCUGCUGGGCAGUAGCUGACGCUGAGGCGCGACAGCGUGGGGAGCAAACAGG